rnacentral:lncRNA from 1 species
UUUCUUUCUUCUUCUCUCUAUACGUUGGUGUUCUAACCCAUAAUCAUUCAAUCGCUAUUACAAUUCAUUUUCCGACCGAUCAAUAUAUCCAAUGGAUGUUUAAGUGUCGCCCAUAUUAGGUUUAUACUUUGUCGUUCGUCGUUAAUUCGAUGAAUGUUUAAGUAUCGCGCUUUGUCGUUCGUUGUGAGAAUUUGAUCUCGUGAGUUAUCGUAAAAGCUGUAUUGAUCAUUAACCCGGUUUCUGUGAAAUUCGUUCGAAUCUCAUGACUACCGUUAAGGUUUGAUUUGGGUUUUGCACCAAUACGUAUUCCAUUCUGUUAAACCACCAAAAAUACUCCCAACUACACUCUUACAAUCAAACAAACUAUUAAAUCAUCAGAAGAUCCAGAAUAAUAAAGUGCAUGCUUAAUUAUCGGAAGAAAUAGAAUCAAGAAGUUUGUUAACUCAAUCCUGCAUGCUGAUUUAUAAUUACAGUAGAUUGGAGUAAGGAUUGGAUCCGGCACUAAAAGACUUCAAGAAGUGGCUUAUUUUAUUAAUUAAAUCAACUUAAGAAAUAUUGUUUUUGGGUUAUCCCGUAUUAAAAGCUACCUUUGUAAAACAUGGAAUUUAUUCCAUCUAUUUAAAUAAAAAAAUCCGGUGUUUCAAAACUCUGAUAUUUUCCUAACUCACGGUCCUGAUGAAAUUUCCGCUGCAAUGUUUUUCAAAAUCAUCACCGGUACCACUGGACUGCUCGCGGCUUCCGAUUCCGGCUAGAAUGGGGUCGG